rnacentral:rRNA from 1 species
GACGAACGCUGGCGGCGUGCUUAACACAUGCAAGUCGAACGGUGACCCAGGGCUUGCCCUGGUGAUCAGUGGCGAACGGGUGAGUAACACGUGGGCAACCUGCCCCUGACUUCGGGAUAACUCCUCGAAAGAGGAGCUAAUACCGGAUACGACCACUUCGGACAUCCGAUGGUGGUGGAAAGUUUUUCGGUCAGGGAUGGGCCCGCGGCCUAUCAGCUAGUUGGUGGGGUAAUGGCCUACCAAGGCGACGACGGGUAGCCGGCCUGAGAGGCGACCGGCCACACUGGGACUGAGACACGGCCCAGACUCCUACGGGAGGCAACAGUGGGGAAUAUUGCGCAAUGGGCGAAAGCCUGACGCAGCGACGCCGCGUGAGGGAUGAAGGCCUUCGGUUGUAAACCUCUUCAGCAGGGACGAAGCGGAAAGUGACGGUAACCUGCAGAAGAAGCACCGGCUAACUACGUGCCAG